rnacentral:lncRNA from 1 species
UGGAGAUCGAUCGAUCCAAGAGGGCGAAUUUGGCUUUGAAAGUUGAAUCAGUUUUAUUUUUGUGAUAAUUUAGUUUUCGGUUUGGAGAUUGAUUUGGAUUGUUUAGAUUUAAGUUUCUCUGAUCAUCGGAUUUCUAAGAGGAUAUAUGAUUCAUUCUUUGAAUCGUUUUAUAUCUUAUGUUUUGAUGUUUUCAUUUGUCGUGGUUUUCUUUUCGUCUUGUUUAAUCAUAUGAAUCCAAUGUAGAAUAUUUUAGCUUGAUUAUAAUUACAUAGAUUGUUUUUUUAUCAAAUUAGAGAUUCAUGCAUUGCUUCAUCUAUGUCUGUUUUUCUCAUUUCAUCACUGAUUUUAGAAAGGGUUUGAUAUGGUUGAUCUAGAACAAUACUUCUAUAUGGAUUAGACACAUAUUUUGGUUAGGAGUUUUUUAGGCCUUAUUUCAUUCUACAGAAGGUUUAUCAGAGAUUUCAGUACCAUAGCAAAUAUUAUUUCAAAUUGUCUGAAAAAAUGAUCAUUUGUUUGUUGGAUUUCAAGAGCUGAUUUAUUUCUGUUUGAAGAUCUAUAUCUUCUUCUGAGUUUUGAUAAUAUUAUUCUCAAAGACUGCAUCACUUCCACCCUUCGCUACUUGUCUCUCCUUUUUGAUGGUUUCUCGACGAUCAUGGUUUUUUUUUGGCGAUUGGUCUAUUCAUGCACUGCUUCAUCUAUGUCUGUUUUUCUCAUUUCAUCGUUGAUUUUUAAAAGGGUUUGAUAUGGUUGAUAUGGAACAACAUUUCAUAUGGAUUAUAUACAGAUUUUUGAUUGGUGUCUAAAUCAGAUAUUAUUAGUUUAUUACAGAGUUUUCUCAUUAACACACUAGUUUAUCUUAUGUUGGCAAGUGAUAUUUCAAUCUGCAAAUUUUGAAAAAUCAAACAAGUUGGAUUGGAGAUUGAUGGUUUUCAUUAGUUCUGUAUAGUUUUGACAAAAUUUGUGGUUUUGCAUUACUUUUUUGUAGAUACUGAUUUGAAUGUGAUUUAUUUUUAAAAGGUUUACUAAGCAUAAUCCUUUAUGGUUUAUCGAAAUGGAUUUGUAUUGCAUAUGUUUAAUCCUUUGGCAUUACACAACCUUCUAUAUAUUAUAUUAAAUAAACAACUUCUUUAUAUGAUCGAGUACAAAUUAAUAAAUUAUAUAUUCAGAUCGAUUUCAGUUACAGAGAUUAUAGAUACUUGUCAUUUUAGAGAUUGAUUUGGAUUGUUUAGAUUUAGGUUUCUCUGAUCGUUGGAUUUCUAAAAGGAUAUUUGAUUCAUUGAAUCAUUUUAUUUCUUAUGUUUUGAUGUUUUCAUCAAUCGUGUUUUUCUUUUCGGGUGCUUAAUCAUAUGGAUCCAAUGCAGAAUAUUCUAGCUUGAUUAUAGUUACAAAGAUUGAUUUUUUUUAUCAAAUUUGAGAUUCAUGCACUACUUCAUCUAUGUCUGUUUUUCCAAUUUCAUCGUUGAUUUUUGAAAGGUUUUGAUAUGGUUGAUCUAGAACAACAUUCUAUAUGGAUUACAUAUAGAUUUUGGAUUGGUCUAAAUAAGAAAUUCUUAGUUGAUUACAAAGUUUUCUCAUUAACAUACUAGUUUAAUUAUCUUAUUUCGGCAAGUGAUAUUUCAAUCUACAAAUUAUGAUAAAUCAAACAAGUUUGAUUGGAGAUUGAUGGCUUUAAUUAGUUCUGUAUAGUUUUUGCUAACUUUGUGGUAUUGUAUUAGUUUUUUGUAGAUACCGAUUUGAAUGUGAUUUGUUUUUAAAAGGUUUACUGAGCAUAAUCCUUUAUGGUUUAUCGAAAUGGAUUUGUAUUGCAUAUGUUUAAUCCUUUGGCAUUACACAACCUUCUAUAAUAUAUUAAAUAAACAAAUUCUUCAUAUGAUCGAGUACAAAUUAAUAAAUUAUAUAUUCAGAUCGAUUUCAGUUACAGAGAUUAUAGAUACUUGUCAUUUUAGAGAUUGAUUUGAAUUGUUUAUAUUUAGGUUUCUCUGAUCGUUGGAUUUCUAAAAUGAUAUUUGAUUCAUUGAAUCAUUUUAUUUCUUAUGUUUUGAUGUUUUCAUCAAUCGUGUUUUUCUUUUCGAGUGCUUAAUCAUAUGGAUCCAAUGCAGAAUAUUCUAGCUUGAUUAUAGUUACAAAGAUUGAUUUUUUUUUAUCAAAUUUGAGAUUCAUGCACUACUUCAUCUAUGUCUGUUUUUCCAAUUUCAUCGUUGAUUUUUGAAAG